CCUAUCCACCAGUUCCAUUACCAACCCUUCCCCUAUCCACCAGUCCCUUUACCAACCCUUCUCCUAUCCACCAGUCCCAUUACCAAUCCUUCCCCUAUCCACCAGUCCCAUUACCAAUCCUUCCCCUAUCCACCAGUCCCAUUACCAACCCGUUCCCUAUCCACCAGUCCCAUUACCAACCCUUUCCCUCUCCACCAGUCCCAUUACCAACCCUUCCCCUAUCCACCAGUCCCAUUACCAAUCCUUCCCCUAUCCACCAGUCCCAUUACCAAUCCUUCCCCUAUCCACCAGUCCCAUUACCAACCCCUUCCCUAUCCACCAGUAAGGUUGAAUGCAUUUUAAUAACUAUAAAGCGAAAACGAAUUCCUAAGCCACCACCAUCCUCACUUUAUCUUUUCCUUGUCAGUCUGUUCGUAUCGUUUUUUUUUUAUCUGCCUCGAAAAUACACUGUUAUGUUCUUUUGUCAGAUGUUAGGUUGAGUGAUUUUGUAUAACUCUAAAGCGACAACGAGCAGUACAGAACAUACCCUGAUCCCCGAGUCCAGCAUCCUUACGUCCUUUACUUUUCCUCCCGCCUCAAAAGGUUGUUAUAUGUUCCUUCUUAUUGUAAGGUUAAAUGUUUUGAGUAACUAAGAGUAGGCAACGAGUAAGACAUACCAGCCCAGAAUACCUAGUCCACCCUCGCCUCUGUUUUCCAUUAGGUUCUUCUGCCUCAAAAGAGUACUGUUAUGAUCACUCUUGUUGUCAAUAGUAAUGUUUAAGGUAAGGUUUAAUAAGGCUUUGAGUACAGACCAACGAGCACAGACCGGCUCCGAAUACCCAGUCCACCCUGUCCUCUUUUUCCACCCGCCUACAAAGUGUAUAUUCUCCUUCUUUUUGUCCGUGGUAAAGUUGAAGGGAUUUGAAUAACUAAAGUUAGGCAACGAGUACAGGCCCCCCUUGAAUACCUAGCCCAGCCUUACCUCCUCUUCUUUCUACAUUAGUUUGCGUCAUUCAUUUCUCCAUCUGCCUCAAAAGUGUAUGUUAUGUCCCGUCUUGUCGCUGGUUAGUUUGAGUUUGGGUAUAGCCGAGUACAGCCCCCCCUUGAAUACCUAGCCCAGCCUUACCUCCUCUUCUUUCUACAGUAGUUUGCCUUCAUCCAUUCCUCCAUCUGCCUCGAAAGUGUAUGUUAUGUCCCGUCUUGUCGGUGGUUAGGUUGAGUUUGGGUAUAGGCGAAUAUAGCCCAUCCUUGGAAACUUAAGGCACCAUUCCCAUCUCCUCUUUUUUUCAUUACUCCGCACUCAUCCAUUUCUCCAUUACUGUUAUGUUCUAUUACGAUCGGUCUUGUUGUCAGUGGUAAGGCUGAAUAAUUUUGAGUAACGAUGAGGAAAGAACGAGUACAGUCCAUCCUUGAAUACCGAAACCCCCACUCCCACCACCUCUCUUUUUCCAGUACUCUGUCCCCAAGGUGUACUGUGUUAUGUUGUGUCUUGUUGUUAGGUCGGAUGGAUUUUCAGUAACUAUGAGGAAAGAACGAGUAUAGACCAUCCUUGAAUGCCUAAGCCACCACCACCACCUCUAGUUUGCAUUGCUCCGUCUCCGAGGUGUACUGUGCUCUGUUCUGUCUUGUUCUUAGGAAGGCGUAGACUUCGAGGAGAUGCAAAUGAGGUUUCUGAAUAGGUUAAAGGGAUUGGCAAGGGAGUUCCUGAUGAAACACGUAUAUAAAAAAAAUACAGAGAAAAGAACAAACAACAACGGAUACAGAUUAAAUGAAUGAGGAGGAAAUGGCAAAGAAUUAUUUCACGAACAGGUGGUCGGGGAAUGGAACAAAAUGGGCAGACACCAUUGAAACAUUUCAGUAGAGGUUAGACACAUUUAUGGCUGGGAAGGGAGUUCGGUGAAUCAACCAUUCUCAGGAGGUGCCGUGUGUACGCCGACUGGCCUCCUGUGGUCUGCAUAUAUCCCUGUGCACCUUCCUGUAUAUAGUGGUCAUGACGACGGCUUCGCACACUUCGGAGCUUUUUUCUCCCUAUAAUCAUCUUGCGCUGGUUUAGCCUAGAGGCCCCCACCCUCCCCCUUCCCCUAAGAUAACAGUGUGUGUGUGUGGGGGGGG